rnacentral:rRNA from 1 species
AUUGAACGCUGGCGGCAUGCCUUACACAUGCAAGUCGAACGGCAGCACGGGAGUAAUCCUGGUGGCGAGUGGCGAACGGGUGAGUAAUACAUCGGAACGUGCCCAGUAGUGGGGGAUAGCCCGGCGAAAGCCGGAUUAAUACCGCAUACGACCUACGGGUGAAAGCGGGGAUCGCAAGACCUCGCGCUAUCAGAGCGGCCGAUGUCAGAUUAGGUUGUUGGUGGGGUAAAGGCCUACCAAGCCGACGAUCUGUAGCUGGUCUGAGAGGACGACCAGCCACACUGGGACUGAGACACGGCCCAGACUCCUACGGGAGGCAGCAGUGGGGAAUUUUGGACAAUGGGGGCAACCCUGAUCCAGCCAUGCCGCGUGCGGGAAGAAGGCCUCGGUUGUAACG